rnacentral:rRNA from 1 species
UACGAAGGGGGCUAGGCGUUGCUCGGAAUCACUGGGCGUAAAGCGCACGUAGGCGGAUUGUUAAGUCAGGGGUGAAAUCCUGGAGCUCAACUCCAGAACUGCCUUUGAUACUGGCGAUCUUGAGUCCGGGAGAGGUGAGUGGAACUGCGAGUGUAGAGGUGAAAUUCGUAGAUAUUCGCAAGAACACCAGUGGCGAAGGCGGCUAUCUGGGACGGUACUGACGCUGAGACGCGAAGA